GAUGAACGCUGGCGGCGUGCCUAAUACAUGCAAGUCGAGCGAAUGGAUUAAGAGCUUGCUCUUAUGAAGUUAGCGGCGGACGGGUGAGUAACACGUGGGUAACCUGCCCAUAAGACUGGGAUAACUCCGGGAAACCGGGGCUAAUACCGGAUAACAUUUUGAACCGCAUGGUUCGAAAUUGAAAGGCGGCUUCGGCUGUCACUUAUGGAUGGACCCGCGUCGCAUUAGCUAGUUGGUGAGGUAACGGCUCAUCAAGGCAACGAUGCGUAGCCGACCUGAGAGGGUGAUCGGGCACACUGGGACGGAGACACGGGCCAGACUCCUACGGGAGGCAGCAGUAGGGAAUCUUCCGAAAUGGACGAAAGUCUGACGGAGCAACGCCGCGUGAGUGAUGAAGGCUUUCGGGUCGUAAAACUCUGUUGUUAGGGAAGAACAAGUGCUAGUUGAAUAAGCUGGCACCUUGACGGUACCUAACCAGAAAGCCACGGCUAACUACGUGCCAGCCGCCGCGGUAA
rnacentral:rRNA from 1 species